AUUAACUAUCUUUCUCAAGCUGUACAUUAUGUCUCUAGACUUCUUCAUUCUAUGUGUAUGCAACCUUUUGCCCUCCAACCUCACUCUUCCCAUUCCCAAUCUCUCCCAUCCACCUAUUCAUUGCCUUUGGUAACCACCUUUCUGUUGUUUGUUUCUAGUAUGGAGACCCUGCCAUUUGCGACAACAUGGAUGUAUCUGCAGGACAUUAAGACAAGUGCAAUAAGCAAGACACGGAAAGAAAAUAUAGCAUGGUCUCUCUUAUAUGUGGAAUUUAAAAAUUAACUCUGAAUACUUUGGAUUAAACUGAUGCAGCAAUCAUCCAAGAGAUGUCCACAUACGCACUCCUGUUAACGUUAGUUCCUUUCAUCCAAGCCAUCAGAGGUUCUCCCUGGAUCUCAUUUUUGGGAGUAGCUGACUUUUUCAUUCUCUGCUGGAGCGUUUGGGCUGAUUCAUCACCGCCUCCCCAACCACCAUUCACUGAGUGUAGCCCCUGGUCGUGGCUGCCUUUUCUGCUAUUUUAUAGACCCAAGCCUGAAUCUAUAAAGCGCUUCCCUUGGUACCUCCCAGAAACUUUUUAUUGCCUGUCUCUUUCUGUCAACUCAGUUGCAGAAAAAUACAUUUUAUGGCUCCAGUACUUUAAGAAAGCUCUGAAAAAUCAAAUCUGUCCAUGGGAGUGCCAGCAUACUAUCUAUUAGAUUAAAUGAAGCUGUAAGCAUCUUUGAAGUACAAAUGAUACUUGGAAAGUAAAUGAAACUGGGAAUACUUGCAAGUAAAAUAUGGGAAGUCAAAGAGAUUAAAGGAUGAGAACCAGAAAUUGCUUAUGGCCAGUGUCCUGAGUAAGCCUCAGAAUCGCAUCCUAGAAGCAUCACGUUCUUGCGUUACCCUAUGGAUCUAAAAAAAGACUUCCUUAGUUUGAUGUAGUCUGCAGACAUCUCAUCAUCACAAAAACUUGAAAGCACUUACAGCACUAAGAAACUACCUUUGCAGAUUGUAAAAAAAGAUAGAAUCCUACUUAGUGUUUUGAUCACACCUGCCUAUUUCCCCAAGGUUUUACUGCAGGGUUAAAGAAUGAAUAAGCAUCUAGUUAUAUUUAAUAAACUCCAUGCCUUAUGGCUGAUUCUAAAGGCACAUGGCUUUGUUACAUUCGCUUGAAGCUCUGCUUUAUUUUCUAAAAAUGGUUGCUUACAGUGGUCCCUUGCAGCCCAUGGUGAUAGUUUAU
rnacentral:lncRNA from 1 species